rnacentral:lncRNA from 10 species
AAUAAGUCUUAUGAGAUCUGAUGGUUUUAAAAAUGAGAGUUUCCCUACAAAAGCUCUCUCUUUGCCUGUCGCCAUCCGUGUAAGAUGUGACUUGCUCCUUCUUGCCUUCUGCCAUGAUUGUGAGGCUUCAUCAGCCAUGUGGAAUUGUGGCAGCAAUACGUAGAGAAGGAGCCUGAAGAUCUGACGUUCGCUUGCAAAAAGUUGGCUCUUCUGCACAAUCACAGCCAGCCUGUCAGCCUCCCGGUUGCUGUGAUGGACCUGAGUCACUUCCCAUCACAAAGAGCAUUUCCCAGCUGAUGCUAAGGACCCAAGGCCAUAGCAUCUGUCUUUACCUCCUCAACAGAAUGGGUAGCUUGUCAUUUGGGGAUUUCAAAUAUUUUUAGUAAAAAAUGUUACUGAAUAAACA